UUUAGAAAGUGAAUUUUGGAACGUAUAUUUGGAUAUUGCGUGAUAUUUACUCGAGCUACUUGAGUUAACUGUACUGGACCAUCUCGGCAGAGAAGAAUAAAAUGCAGUGUUUGAAGUUAUCGUUGCAGAUUUUGACAUUGAUUGGAUGAUGUUCUGGAUCAUCAAUGCUGCUCAGAAGAAACAAACUGCUUGUCUAUGCAGUGCGGGUGUAUUACAAAUGUUUGUAGAAAAGUGGUGUCUGUAGAUAUUUAGGUGAGCAUACCAUGAAAAGCCUUCCCAUUUCCCUUUAAUGUUUCUUUUUUUACUAGGAUGCCUCUAAUGGGCAAGUAGACGUAAUCUUGAGAAAUAAUUAUCUAUUUUAAGGGAACAGAUUCUAAGAUAUAACAUAUAAUGAACCUUGGGAGAAGAAAAUGUUGAUAAUGUACGUGAAUAUGAUUUCCUAAAGUUAAUAGGAUUCCCUUUUGUUUAGUUCUUGUUAACUACAAGUCUCUCUCAAUAUUACACGAGAAAUAGUGAAUGUUUGGAACCUAGAUUAAGAGCAUAAUGACAUUCCUUAAAAAAAAAAAAAACUACCCUAAACAGUUUUCCCAACCAUUUGUAAUUCUUUUGUUCCGAUAGUAGUUCCUUGUUAUUAUAAGUUUUGGUGAAGUAGUGUAUGGGCGUCUGCUGGUCUGGAAUUAAAAGUGCAGAGAUUAUAUUAUUAACAUUUGACUGUCAUUUUUUCAACGUGAAUGUGUUAGCGUUAUGAAACUUGGAUUAAAAUUGCUAUUAGAAAAUCUGUCGAAACCUAGAUAAUCCUCCUAUUUCGCUUUGUUUCAAAUAAGGGAGGCGACGGAUAACGGUGACAAGUGUUUUAUUAUUUUCGAAAUUACCUCCAUUCUAAAUUGUCAUACUGUUAUAAAUUUCAUUCUGUUUGUCCGAAAGUAUUAAACUAAAGAAAAUC